UGCUCUGGCUAAAUUUUUCAAUGAAAAAACAAUAUGUGUGCUAUGAAUGUAAAUUCUUUUUCAUGGCCUAUCAAUGAAAGUUUGGUGUAUUGGCCAAAUCACUUGCAAGCAUCUUGCCUUUAAACUGCCAUACGUAAAGUCACGCUUUUAAAAGUAACUGAAAGCAGCUGAAAAUACGAAUUUUUUUAUGAACUUUCUUACUUCGGUUGGAGGAGAUGAGAAACAACUUACAGCGGCAAUCUUAAUACAGCUAAUGGUCAAAGAAGUAUGUUUUUCAUACUCAGUGUAUGGAAUGAAACAAAAACGUCCUGCAAGAUCGUUAUAGAGUUGCGUUCAGUUUUUUAUCGUUGUAUUCAUUCAUUUCGAAAUCGCUACUGACAAAAGUAUUAAAGAAAAAGUUGGCAGCUUUCUGGCGACAGCCAUUAAUAGAGAUUAUGGAAGAAAAAUAGAACCGUAACUUAGCAACGCCCAAUAUUCAGCAAUGAAAUAAGUAUCGCCAAUAUAAUAAAAGUCGAUGCCCACUAUCUCAUAGUGAGAGUAUAAUACAGUAGUUUAUAUAUAUAUGAGAGUAGUUUAUAUAUAUAUAUGAGAGUAUA